AAAGAAAGCGUAAUAGCUCACUGGUCGAGUCGGCCUGCGCGGAAGAUGUAACGGGGCUAAACCAUGCACCGAAGCUGCGGCAGCGACGCUGAUGCGUUGUUGGGUAGGGGAGCGUUCUGUAAGCCUGUGAAGGUGUGCUGUGAGGCAUGCUGGAGGUAUCAGAAGUGCGAAUGCUGACAUAAGUAACGAUAAAGCGGGUGAAAAGCCCGCUCGCCGGAAGACCAAGGGUUCCUGUCCAACGUUAAUCGGGGCAGGGUGAGUCGACCCCUAAGGC
rnacentral:rRNA from 2 species